rnacentral:tRNA from 2 species
CGGGGUGUAGUUUAACGGCAGAAUUCGCGGCUGGGGGUCGUGAGACCGGGGUUCAAUUCCCCGCACCCCGA